rnacentral:rRNA from 1 species
AUUGAACGCUGGCGGCAGGCCUAACACAUGCAAGUCGAACGAGUGGAGGACUGGUGAGUAAUGUCUGGGAAACUGCCUGAUGGAGGGGGCUAACUACUGGAAACGGUAGCUAAUACCGCAUACCAUCAGAUGUGCCCAGAUGGGAUUAGCUAGUUGGGGGGGUAACGGCUCACCAAGGCGACGAUCCCUAGCUGGUCUGAGAGGAUGACCAGCCAAACUGGAACUGAGACACGGCCCAGACUCCUACGGGAGGCAGCAGUUGGGAAUAUUGCACAAUGGGCGAAAGCCUGAUGCAGCCAUGCCGCGUGUAUGAAGAAGGCCUUCGGGUUGUAAAGUACUUUCAGCGGGGAGGCGUUACCCGCAGAAGAAGCAACGGCUAACUACGUGCCAGCAGCCGCGGUAAUAC